UAUCAUACAGGUGUAUUUGCAUGUCUGGCUUACAUUGUUUUGAAAGAAAAAAACAUUUGGGGCAUAAAAAUUGUCUUUAGCUCCUUGACUCUUGGUACACUGUGUGUGUGUGUGUGUGUGUGUGUGUGCAGUGAUGCACAUAGGGAGUUUAUAGAAGACAGCUUUCACAUGUCUCUUCUCUUCUUCCCUUUACUGAAGCAGAGCCUCUCUUGCUUCUGCCAAUGCUGCUGUGAGCUUCAGCUCUUGUUGUUGCUUUUCUCCCCCGCCCCCAGAAGCGCUGGGAUUAGAAGGGCACACCAAUGUAUCUGGCUUUCUUUUCUAAAUGCAGGUCUAGAUACUGAAUUCAGAUUAUCAGGCUUCUGCGGUGAGUGAUUUUGUCCACUGAUCUAUCUUACAAUCCCAAUUUAGAGUUUCACCUUAUAGCACAAGCUGGCUUGUAACUGAAACUUGUGAAGAUCCUCCUGCCUCUAAAAAAAAAAUCCAGUGUCAGAAUUAUCGGCCCGCGAUACCACCCUGAGCACAAGAGCCUCCCAACCUUGCUUCCCCUGUGUUAUUAGCAUAAAACAGCCUAAAUAGCAACUCUCUAACAACAAGUAUAAUAUCAAACAAGAUCAAUACAAUUACUUAUUUCUAAAUAUUUUACAUGUGUUUUCUUCUUUAAAGAUUAAAAAUAACCACACUCAUGUACUUUUAGUGACAAGUACUUGGGUAUUUGUGACACUGUAUAUUGGGCAAUAAGGAGGUAGCUUUUAUUCCUGUGACAAAUGAAGAUCUCGAAAGUGGGGAUACAAAGGCAUUGUAUAUCCUAUUUCUGUUCACAAAGUGUGGAAAGCACAGUUCCCAUAGCCAAGUUUGAGAAAAAUAAAUAGUAAGUCCUCAUUCUUUGAGGUUGGAUGAGCGUUUGAUCACGGUAAAAGAACUGUCUUAGAGAAGGAAAACAAACGAUGAGGGGAAAAGGUUGAGAAGUUUAAGGACUAGGUUUCUUCAGGGAUUGACAUUAGCUCUGGGCUUACUUAACACUUCUACAAAUAAUCUGGAGAAAGGCAGGACUCUGUCAAAUAUCAGAGGGCUUAGAGAACGCUAAACUUUCUAGUAGGAAAGAAUAAAUUGGUGAGUGUCCGCAGGGAAGGCCUUGCAGUUCUGUGCAGGCCAGCAGAGAAUGCCUGUUAAAGAGAGCAGCAGGGGAGGGGAGAGGGGGGUAGACCUUAUACCCAUGGGACUUCAAAGCAGUGACUUUUAAACAUUUUAAAUGAUAUACAGAUCUCUAAGAGUUUAACAUUCUGAGCUCUUUUCCUACGAAGUGUGCUUAUAAGCCCCACAGUAGGAACCAUACUUCAGAGUGGUCUCAAAUUGCAAAUAAAAAUUCUAACUAUCUAUGUUCUGUUCCUCUGUAUGUUCAUUUAGUAAAAAGCAAAUAUUGAGUACUAGCUGUAACCUUGGGCCAAUGUUAGCUACUGGGGAAAUACAGAGAGACCAAGACAAACGUGACCUCUGACUUGAAGCUGACUUAGACCACAUUGGGGGAAGAUGAGCAAGCAUUCACUCUGUGAUGGAUUAACUGUUCCAGUUCCCAUCCUAAGGGGUCAGGGACGUCUCUGAAGGCUACCCACCUAUUCCAGCUACAGCUAGAAAGAAGGAAGGUCAUAGAAGUCUGUAAGGAGACAUCAGACGACAAUACAGAUGAUCUUCACUUAAAUUACAAAACAGGCAGACGCACUAUUCCAUGCUAUAGUUCAAACAUUUACUUUAUGUGGGUUAGGUAUACAGGAUAGGUAUGGUGGAGUUGGAACGAAGCAACCAGGUUGAACACUCAGAGAAGAACAUCGUCUAAAUGUAUGACAUUUUAGCCUUGCAGAUGGAAACUCAGAGAAUAUAAAUUUUACAUAUAUACAUAUUACUAUAUAUGUCAGUAUACAAUGAGUCAGUUUUAUGAGUAAAGUUCUAUUUAUCAUAUUUCAAAUACUGAGAGACAAAGACAAAUACCUUUGAAAUUUGGUCUGACCAACUUGCUUUUUUACCAAGUAAAUAAGUUUCUGAACAAAUUAUAUUAAAUAUGAUACUAAUAAGUAUUAUUUGGAAGUUUCUUAGGAGUUUCUAAGAUACUUAAAUUCUAGGAAUACUAAAAUAAUCUUCUAAUCAACAUUUAUUGUUGUUUUAGCAAAAAUACUCAAGUAGUCUUUUUUCAGCUCUGAUGGGUAAGGCUUUCUUUCAUAGAAGGCUUUCUCUCAUAGAAGGCAAAUCCUGGAAUAUCUGUACUUUAACAUGAUAGCAGUUCAUUUCUCUCUAAUGUGUACACAUGCACAUGUACGCAUACUUAAAAGAAUAAGAUCUAUAACCAUAUGAUAUAUAUGUAUGUAUAUAAAUUCAUACAUAUAUAAUUGUGGCCAAAUGAAAGAACGUGUGUAUCACUUGAGGGCCCUCUAACAGGGUAAAUUCCAUCAGGGAAAGAUUUGACUACCAUUAUCACCAAGGUUUCUGGCUGAGUAAUUGCUGGGUAAAAGAAAAGAGGAUAAUUAGGUGUUAUAUUGUAGCAUGAUGAGCUAUUAUUAGAAUUACUAUUCCUUCCCCAUGAUAAAAAUAAUGAGAUAAAUCAGAAGAUGAUGGUACUACUAAUUAAAACAGUG
rnacentral:lncRNA from 1 species